UUAAGUUAUCAGCUAAAAAGUGGCAUUUCAAUGGCACUGUUUCUGUAUUAAGGAUGUGAAAAGUGACUGCAUUUGUUUUGUACAAUGUAUUUCUCACAGUAGCACACAAAGGGCUCAGCUUUCUGUUUUGCAGCAGGAAGCAGUUGCUCAGCUCAGUGAAGUAAUGAACAAGCUGCUAGCUGACAGUGCAUAUGACUUGGAUCUUGCUUCUGGAACUUAAAAGGUGCUGCAGGUGUGUGCUGCCUGCUUUGCUCAGGCCUUCAUGCUCACCUCCAGCCCGGGGCAGCUUUGCUCACUGGGCCUUGAGUCUGGGAAGAGCAGCCAGGAGGAGUGGCUGGGAUGCUCCAGGCUGGCAGCAGAGAACUGGACACGGUUCAGAAGAUGGAAUGUCAUGGAAAUACAUACAAGAGAGAAGGAAUUUCUAGUUGUACAUUACAUUACAAAGAG